rnacentral:rRNA from 1 species
UACGGGGGGGGGCAAGCGUUGUUCGGAAUUACUGGGCGUAAAGGGCUCGUAGGCGGCCAACUAAGUCGGAUGUGAAAUCCCCAGGCUUAACCUGGGAACUGCAUCCGAUACUGGAUGGCUUGAAUCCGGGAGAGGGAUGCAGAAUUCCAGGUGUAGCGGUGAAAUGCGCAGAUAUCAGGAAGAACACCAGUGGCGAAGGCGGCUCACUGGCCCGGUACUGACGCUGAGGCGCGAAAGCGUGGGGAGCAAACAGG